CGCUAUGCAUGCAAGUCGAACGGGCAAAGGGGCUUCGGCCCCGGAGCUAGUGGCAGACGGCUGAGUAACACGUAAGUGAUCUGCCCCGGAGCGGGGGAUAAUCCGGAGAAAUUCGGUCUAAUACCCCGUACGUUCAUAUGGUCAAGGCUAUAUGAAGAAAGGUUUCGACCGCUCUGGGAGGAGCUUGCGGCCUAUCAGGUAGUUGGCGGGGUAAUGGCCCACCAAGCCGAAGACGGGUAACCGAUGUGAGAGCAUGAUCGGUCAGAGGGGGACUGAGACACGGCCCCCACUCCUACGGGAGGCAGCAGCAGGGAAUCUUGCGCAAUGGGCGAAAGCCUGACGCAGCGACACCGCGUGGGGGAAGAAGGCCUUAGGGUUGUAAACCCCUUUUCUGUGGGAAGAGAUAGGACGGUACCACAGGAAUAAGCAUCGGCUAACUACGUGCCAGCAGCCGCGGUAAUACGUAGGAUGCAAGCGUUGUCCGGAUUUACUGGGCGUAAAGGGUGUGUAGGCGGCAUGUUAAGUCUCAUGUGAAAUCUCCCGGCUCAACUGGGAGCGGUCAUGGGAAACUGGCAAGCUUGAGGGCAGCAGAGGAAAGCGGAAUUCCGGGAGUAGUGGUGGAAUGCGUAGAUACCCGGAGGAACACCAGAGGCGAAGGCGGCUUUCUGGGCUGUGCCUGACGCUGAGACACGAAAGCGUGGGGAGCAAACCGGAUUAGAUACCCGGGUAGUCCACGCCCUAAACGAUGGAUACUAGAUAUGGGGGGUAUCGACCCCUCCCGUGUCGGAGUUAACGCGAUAAGUAUCCCGCCUGGGGAGUACGGCCGCAAGGCUAAAACUCAAAGGAAUUGACGGGUCCCCGCACAAGCGGCGGAGCGUGUGGUUUAAUUCGAUGAUAAGCGAAGAACCUUACCUGGGCUUGACAUGCACUUGACAGCCCGUGAAAGCGGGUCUUCUUUCGAGACAGUGCACAGAUGU
rnacentral:rRNA from 1 species